rnacentral:rRNA from 1 species
CCUACGGGAGGCAGCAGUGGGGAAUAUUGCACAAUGGGGGAAACCCUGAUGCAGCAACGCCGCGUGAGUGAAGAAGUAUUUCGGUAUGUAAAGCCCUGUCAGCAGGGAAGAAAAUGACGGUACCUGACCAAGAAGCCCCGGCUAACUACGUGCCAGCAGCCGCGGUAAUACGUAGGGGGCAAGCGUUAUCCGGAUUUACUGGGUGUAAAGGGAGCGUAGACGGCAAGGCAAGUUUGGAGUGAAAGCCCGUGGCUCAACCACGGGACUGCUUUGGAAACUGUGUUGCUGGCGUGCAGGAGGGGUAAGCGGAAUUCCUAGUGUAGCGGUGAAAUGCGUAGAUAUUAGGAGGAACACCGGUGGCGAAGGCGGCUUACUGGACUGUAACUGACGUUGAGGCUCGAAGGCGUGGGGAGCAAACAGGAUUAGAUACCCGUGUAGUC